rnacentral:rRNA from 1 species
UACCAGCACCCCGAGUGGUCGGGACGUUUAUUGGGCCUAAAGCAUCCGUAGCCGGUUCUACAAGUCUUCCGUUAAAUCCACCUGCUUAACAGAUGGGCUGCGGAAGAUACUAUAGAGCUAGGAGGCGGGAGAGGCAAGCGGUACUCGAUGGGUAGGGGUAAAAUCCGUUGAUCCAUUGAAGACCACCAGUGGCGAAGGCGGCUUGCCAGAACGCACUCGACGGUGAGGGAUGAAAGCUGGGGAGCAAACCGG